AUCGUAUCGCCAGAUUCUUGCCAAUACACAGCCCUACGAAAAACCCUUCUUUACUUCUGUGAGAUUUGUUUUUCUUCAAAAAUAUAAAGAAAAAGAACAUUAUGUAUCAAAUAUGAAACAUAGCAUCUUUAAAGUUAUGCUAACCCAAUGUGUCAAUAGGUCUGAAUUGUGUUAACCAGAAAUAUUAAAUAA